UUUAAACAGGGUCUUGCUUUGUUGCCCAGGAUGAAAUGCAAUCACACACAAUCAUGGCUCAUUGCAUCACUAUCUAUGUAUUCAUCAAGAAAGAUUGUACGGAGUAUAUGAGAGUCUCUGUUUCACCAAUUCCUAUCAGUAAGGACAACUCAUGUGAUUCUUGAGUUAAGAAUAAGUUCCUGCUGGGUGUGGUAUGAUCUCAUUCCACAUUCUUUCAAUCCAUUCUCAUUAGGCUUCUGCCCUCACACUCCACCAAGCUACUUUUAUAAGAUUACCAAUGAGAUCACCAUGAGCUUGUACUGUCUGAUCCAAUGGGCAACACUCAGCCUUCAUCUCAUUUCACACAUCAGCAGCAUUAGACCACACUGCUCCUGUCCCUCUCCAGGAAGAAAAACUGCUUUCUUGGCCUCUACAGCACCCCUCUCUGGGCUCUCCUUCUCCUUCAUUGGCCAUGUCCCUUUGUUAUUGUUGAAUCCCCCUCAUCUCCCAAACCUCUACAUGUUGUCAUACCCAAGUUCAGUCUUUGGAUAGCUCUCGUCUUCACACUUACCCCGUAGUUUAGCUGGAACAUGUAUUUUAAAAGAUUUAUUCUGAGCCAAAUAUAAGUGACCAUGGCCUGUGGACACAGUCCUCAGGAGGUCCUGAGAACAUGUGCCCAAGGUGGCCGGGGUUGGGGCACAACUUGCUUUUAUACAUUUAAAGAGCCAUGAGACAUCAAUCAAAUAUAUUUAAGAAAUACAUUGGUUAGGUCCAGAAAGGCCGGACAACUCAAAGGCGGGCGGGGUAGGAGGGAACUUCCAACAUUUUCUGGUUGACAAUUGGUUGAGUUUGUCUAAAGACUUAUAAUGGCAAUCUGAUUAAAGGCUAACUCAACUAAAGAUAAGUGCCCCUGGGAGGAGCAGCAACUGAGUUUCUCAUUGGCUCAGAGAGGAGCAGCUCCUGAGUUUCUUAUCUGGUAAGUCCUACUGAAUAUGAAGUACUUGAGCAAAGCAUGCUGAUGGUUAUCACGGCUACAUCAAAAAGGAAAAGGUAUGGUAUGCAAAUGCACCUUAGAUAUGGGCUGGCAGUUAUAGUCACAGUCAAAAACGCAGUAUAUGUCGGAGUAAUGGUUGCUAAGACUUAAAGCCAUUAGAGUAACCAGAAUGUGUUCCCAUGUAAAGACCAGCUUUUGAGUUGAUCCUACAGUCAGUGUUGGUUGACUUGCCUUCCCCACUCAGGGUCUUGGUUUAAAAGAAUGGGUGUCAUUCCUGACUGCUCUUCUUCUAUUUAAAACAAUCAGGGCUACUGCAGUGGCUCAUGCCUGUAAUUCCAACACUUUGGGAGGCCAAGUCAGGAGAGUUGCUUGAGUCCGGGAGUUCAAGACCAGCCUGGCCAAGACCUGGCAAGACCCCAUCUCU
rnacentral:lncRNA from 10 species